rnacentral:tRNA from 1 species
GUUAUUGUAGCUUAUUUUUAAAGCACGGCACUGAAAAUACCACGAUGGGAAAAUAACAAUUCCCCAAAAACA